GAUGAACGCUGGCGGCGUGCCUAACACAUGCAAGUCGAACGAUGAAGCCCAGCUUGCUGGGUGGAUUAGUGGCGAACGGGUGAGUAACACGUGAGUAACCUGCCCUUAACUCUGGGAUAAGCCUGGGAAACUGGGUCUAAUACCGGAUAGGAGCGCCUACCGCAUGGUGGGUGUUGGAAAGAUUUAUCGGUUUUGGAUGGACUCGCGGCCUAUCAGCUUGUUGGUGAGGUAAUGGCUCACCAAGGCGACGACGGGUAGCCGGCCUGAGAGGGUGACCGGCCACAAUGGGACUGAGAGACGGCCCAGACUCCUACGGGAGGCAGCAGUGGGGAAUAUUGCACAAUGGGCGAAAGCCUGAUGCAGCGACGCCGCGUGAGGGAUGACGGCCUUCGGGUUGUAAACCUCUUUCAGUAGGGAAGAAGCGAAAGUGACGGUACCUGCAGAAGAAGCACCGGCUAACUACGUG
rnacentral:rRNA from 1 species